CUCCGGCGCAUGGGGCGCCGACUGAUUGCGUAGCGGGCGGGGCCGGAAGUGCCGCUCCCUGGUGGGGGCUGUUCAUGGCGGUUCCGGGGUCUCCAACAAUUUUCCCGGUUGUGGUCCAAAUCUGUCCGAAGCGGAGGCAGUGGAGCUUGAGGUUCUUGCUGGUGUGAAAUGACUGAGUACAAACUGGUGGUGGUUGGAGCAGGUGGUGUUGGGAAAAGCGCACUGACAAUCCAGCUGAUCCAGAACCACUUUGUAGAUGAAUAUGAUCCCACCAUAGAGGAUUCUUACCGAAAACAGGUGGUUAUAGAUGGUGAAACCUGUCUGUUGGACAUACUGGAUACAGCUGGACAAGAGGAGUACAGUGCCAUGAGAGACCAAUACAUGAGGACAGGCGAAGGCUUCCUUUGUGUAUUUGCCAUCAAUAAUAGCAAAUCAUUUGCAGAUAUUAACCUCUACAGGGAACAGAUUAAGCGUGUAAAAGACUCAGAUGAUGUACCUAUGGUGCUAGUAGGAAACAAGUGUGAUUUGCCAACAAGGACAGUUGACACAAAACAAGCCCAUGAACUGGCCAAGAGUUAUGGGAUUCCAUUCAUUGAAACCUCAGCCAAGACCAGACAGGGUGUUGAAGAUGCCUUUUACACACUAGUAAGAGAAAUACGUCAGUACCGAAUGAAAAAACUCAACAGCAGUGAUGAUGGGACUCAAGGUUGUAUGGGAUUGCCAUGUGUAGUGAUGUAACAAGACUAUUAAAUUUUCAAUAAUAUUACAAAUUAGAAGACAUUGUUUAUGAAAUGUAUUACCAGGAGCUUGAAGGAUCACUACAUGAUGAUGACAUGGUGUGUAUUCUUUUCUCAUAGAUACUUUUAAAGUUCUAGCAUCAGAAAAGAGCCACCGUCAAGCUGCACUGACACCUUGGUCCUGACUUCCCUGGAGGAGAAGUAUUGCUGUUGCUAUCUUCAGUCUCACAAAGAAGCUCCUGCGAUUUCCCCAACUCUCAGUAGAUCAGUAUAAUAUUCUCUAUUUGAGAAGUUCUCAGAGUAACUACCUCCUCACUUGGUUGUCUGACCAGAGAAAUGAACCUCUUGUUACUCCCAGUAUUUCUCCACCCUGGGUUCUCCCCGAGCACACACAAACCAACCUCCACCACCCCAGGUUUUUCAUCUGAAAAGCAAUUAAUGCUCUGAAACAGAGAACCAAACUGUAGAAACAUGAAAUUCUGUAGAAAACAAUGUCUUGAGCUCUGAAGUAGCAACUGCUGGUGAUUUUUUUUUCCUUUUUACUGUUGAACUUGGAACUAUGUUGGUUUUUGGAGAAAUGUCAUAAAUUACUGUUUUGCUGAGAAUAUAGUUAAUGUUGCUGUUUGGUUUGUUUGUAAUGUUAUCAGCUAUAUUCUAUAAACUGGCAUCUGCUCUGUAUUCAGAAAUACAAAAGUGAAUACUGACUUUUUUGAGUCUAUCCUCGUCUUCUCGACUUUCUUGUAAUUAAAUCUGACUUUCACAAUGAAGUGCCUUUUUCCUGGAAGUGGUUUGUAGACUUCCUUUACAAUACUUCAGUGGAAUAGAUGUCUUAGAAACUGUUAUACAUGAAAAUGAUUGUGCGAGAUAUGUCUGUGACCCGUCUAGCUUUGAGGGAAAGAUAUACCAAUAUGAUAGCAGAUGCCAUUUCUUACAUGUAUGAAGUUGAUUUUCUAGAGACCUGUUUUGGGACUCUCCCAAGAGAAAGGUGAGACUAUAAAUGAUUAGGGAUAAUUUUGCUUACUUUUUACCUAAUCUCCACUUUUUUUUUGUUUUGGUAGUUUACUACCUGCAAAAUGUAUAUAAUUUGUUUCUUCUAGCUUACUGAUAAUCUAAUGUUCAAUGAACUUCCAUUCAUAUUUAAAUUUGGGUCAUAUCAGAAAGUCUAUAUUUGCAGGUGUUCAAAAUUAUAAAAUUAGAUGCAGGUUUAUUUAAUAGCUGUGAUCAAUGAUUCUCAAGCCUCAAAUAUGUUAAUAGACAAAUUUUCACUGCAUAUCAUGGUAAUUAUUCAUGUAUAUAAUUGCCCUCGGUCCCCCACCCCAUCCCCUGUCCUUCACCCUAUAGCAGUGGCUUGAUUAUUUCAGUUGAGUAAAGCGUGAUGCUAAUAGACCAGGGUCACAGUUUCAAAACUUCAGUGAGCCAGUUAGCAUCACAGAGAGAGAAAUUCUUCCACAUUUCCUCAUUGCACCAUUAAUUCCAGCUAGUAGUUUUGCCAGAUGCACGUGGUUAGGCCUGCAAGGAGAGAAGAGGUCAGUUAGCACAAAUUCUUAACCAUGACUGGAAAAACUUGUUAUCCUGAGAAGGGUCAGCUUAGAAGUCUUUAUAAAUAAAGGAUCUAGACUCUGUUUUUAGCUACAUGGAAACCAAAUUAAGCCAAUAUUUUUUCUCAUGUUUUUGAGAAUGAGGAUACCUCAGAUCAAAAUUUUUAAAUUUUUCUUUAUUCAUAAUGUUCUUUGAGGGUUUAAAACGGGAUGUUGAUUAAUUAGUCUGGGCAUACCAGAUAAGCUGAUGAGUUUGUUCUUGUUCUGAACAAGAAGUAGCCUUUGGAUUGGAAUUGCUGUUUGAGAAGGGAAUAGAGAAUAUAAUUAAUAGUUAUGAGGAUUUGGAGGCUUGGCUUUUCCAUUUGCAGAUAAUAUCCUGAUAAUUCUAAUGAGUAAUAGACUUGGAUAACUUUUGAUGAAAGAAUACUUCCAAAACGACCACUUCCUGUUCUCGUCUUCUAAUGUGUAAAUACUUACUGAGGUCCUCUUCUAAUAUGAAUUUUCAUUUAUUAAGCAAAUUUCACAUUGCCUUGAAAUGAAUUCGGAAGAGAAGAAAAAACAUAAUGUACCAGAGAAUGAAAAACCCAGAGAGUUGUGCUCCUUCGUGUUAAUUCUGAGAGCUUUCACAGUCCACGCCGGUAAACAGAAACUCUGCCACUUUGCUUCUGCUCCUCUUGGAGCAUUGCUCGCAUUUUCUUGAGGAUAGAUGGAGACUUGUCACCUCAGUUGUCAUUGUCUUCCUCUUCUUCUUUUGUCUAUGUGACUGACUGUGUGAUUCUUAUGAAUGUCAAAUUGGGGGGAAAACAACUCAUUUUAGGCUCUUGUGCCCAUUACCCUUGUAUGUUUGUAUCUUUUAGUUUUCUCAAGUAUGUUCUAAGCACAGUAGUAUCUAAAUGGGGCCAAAAUUCAGACUUGAAAAUGUUCUUUUAAUAGCUUCUUAAAGAGUUACACUUUGGUAUGAAUUUUGGCACAGUAGAGUGACAAACUGACAGUUAAAACGCUGAAUAACUUCAGUUAGUGUGGUAUCAGAUAGUUUUUAGAAUAUGUUUGUAAUUGCUGAAAACAAUUACAGUUUACCUCAAAAUCUGGAAGUCUCUUUCCCCAAGUUAAGUGCCUGGCCAGCUGUCAUAAAUUACAUAUUACUUUAUGUCUGUUUGUUUCUUAAAGGUUGUACAUUCAAGAUUGUGAAAAUAAGGUGUUCUGUGUGAAGGCUACCAUGCCUGUGUGUAAAUGAAUCUGUUGAGUGCUGUAUUUGCUCCAACAGCUUACUAUAGAAUGCUACUUGGUCAUAUCGUACUUAUUACAGUUUUCACUUCAGGAGUGUAAUAGGUAAAAUUAUCCUCAAUCUGUAUUGUAGUGGGCCCCAUGUUUAGUCUUUCAUCAUCCUUUAAACUGCUGUGAAUUUUUUGUCUUGACUUGAAAGCAAGAAUAGAGAAACACUUUAAAGAGAUAGUCUGGUUUUUUUCCAUUCCGGAAUUUGUGAGCAUAGUCAUGUUUUGCUUUACAUUUACAGUCAUGAACUCUUAAGCUGGCAGCUACAACCAAGAACCAAAAAAGGGUGCAUUCUGCUUCUUGUAAUUCAUCUCUGCUAAUAAAUUAUAAGAAGCAAGGAUAAUUAGAGAAAGUAUUUAAUUUGGGUGGUUUCUAUAAACAAGAGACUAUAAUUCUUGUACAUUAUUUUUCAUCUUUGCUGUUUCUUUAAGAAACCUAAUGUGCCACGAAAUUAUUUUAAGGUGUUUCUUAUAAGAAUUGUUUUUAAAGUGUUCUUGUUAUCAGAGUAAUUGUAGAUAUAUUUCAAAAUAUAACUGGUAAUUUUUAAAGGCCUGAGUACUGACCUAAGAAGCAAUUGUAUGAAUUCUCUGGAGGCAAGGGAGGAUCUCAAUGGAAGUUGUAUGACUUUUAUAUUUCUGUGCCAUUAAAUAGAGGUAAAAAAUGUCAAUUGUGCAGUUCUGCUGUUUAAACAGGAACUAUUGGCCUCCUUGGCCCUAAAUGAAAGGGCUGAUAUUUUAAGUUGACUAUUUUAUUGUAAAUUAAUCCAUUCUAAUUUUUAAAACUUUGGUUGAAUAUUUUUCUUGUUAAAUGUUUGAAAAAUAAAAACUGGAAGUUC